UGUGCUUUAUAGACGCCCGGAAGGAUUUGAGUGUAACACACAAAGUCCGUCUGACUACAUCCGGCGUUGUUUUUGCUGAAAUAUCAACUUUUCACGGAGAAACAUCAAAGAUUCUCAUGCAAGCUCACGACCCGCACGCUGGAGCUUGGACGUUACAAAGAGACUUGGCACGGACACUAGCAAUCGAACCGUAGUCGCUGCAUGCAGCUGCAACAAUCAAAGGCCUUUCAUCAUCAUCUUAAGUUUCCAGAUGAGAGGAAUUAGUGGCCCUCACCCCGCCACUUGGCUUCUCUUCAGGCCUCGGCCAUUCCUCCCCAUUACGGCGUCUCAGGACCAUGUGGCCUGGCGCGAUACCGCGGCAGAGCGCGGCUAACUCAUCAGCCCCUGUUGUCACUCCGCCUGAUGAACGAUACGCACCCUCAGUGGCACCAGCGACACUGAUUUCGCUUCCUUUAAAAGGGGUGAACGGUGCACAAAAGGACUGGCCCAAUUCUGCCACAAAAACUCCCCGAGGACCACACAAACAAGAUAACAAGAGAGAGAUAUCACAGGACACAUGUAACUGCCUGCAGCCUGUGCCACACAGGAGCUGGAGGGGGGAGCUGAGAAGAAUACUUACAAGCCUCCAGCACAAGCACCAGUGCCCCGCCCAGGCACACACACACACACAUGCACAAACGCACGCAUACACAAACACAGGCAUAUAGCCCUGCCAAGUCAAGCACUGUGGCGUGUCAGGAGGACCCUCGGGAGUCCAGCAGCAAAAUGUGUCCUCUAGCAUUAAUGGCGGCUUCAGCUGACUGAACGGGGAAAACACCUUGAAGAAUCAUACUUCUGAACACUGCCUUGGCUCUGCUGGGAAAAAAAAAAACUGAUUGACAUUUCAGAAGCCUUACUAAACAUGCUGGCCCUCUAAUACAGAGCGCACACACACAGCGGCUGUGCUGUCCUCCUCUGAAUACUACACAGGGAGGGAUACAUGUGAUUAAAGAAAUUCCUUGUGUCCAUUUUUUUUUAAUCCAUGUACGGCUGGUAGGUAAAAAGAAUAAAGAUAAUAGGUUCCUGGGG